rnacentral:rRNA from 1 species
AACGAACGCUGGCGGCGCGCCUAAUACAUGCAAGUCGAGCGGUAAGGCCCUUUCGGGGGUACACGAGCGGCGAACGGGUGAGUAACACGUGGGUGACCUGCCUUUAGCUCUGGGAUAAGCCUGGGAAACUGGGUCUAAUACCGGAUAUGACCUCAUGAUGCAUGUUGUGGGGUGGAAAGCCUUGUGCGGCUGGAGAUGGGGCCCGCGGCCUAUCAGCUUGUUGGUGGGGUGAUGGCCUACCAAGGCGA